UGCGUAAACUGGCAAGGUUAAAGAUUUUAGAUCUGGAGCCGAAGAGAAAUCAAGUUUUAACAGAGCGGUGAAAGUCAGUCCACGCAGACCCGAAACCGGGUGAUCUAUCCAUGUCCAGGAUGAAGUUGCCGUAAAAGGCAGUGGAGGUCCGAACGCACAUCCGUUGAAAAGGGUGGCGAUGAGGUGUGGAUAGGGGAGAAAUUCCAAUCGAACCCGGAGAUAGCUGG
rnacentral:ncRNA from 1 species